rnacentral:rRNA from 1 species
CGACCUAGUCAGGCGAGGCUACCCGCUGAACUUAAGCAUAUCAAUAAGCGGAGGAA